UCCACUGAGCCAAACUGGCUAGGACUAGAUGUGAUUCUUAUCUCAAUUCAUAUGAGGAGAUAGAAUUUAAAUAUAAAUGUGAUUUCUUCCUUCAAGUUACUUAUUGUUUAGUUGCAGAGACCACAGAAGCACUUGAGAAGUCUAAUAAAUAGUAAAAUGUAAUAUAUAUUUUCUCUUUUUCCCCUCCAGGUUCCUGUUGCAUGUAAAUCUUGUCCCUGUGGUUAUGUAUUUAUUAAUAGGAAUCUCCUAAAAGUAAAACAGUCAGAUAAGUCAUCACCUUUUACAGAAGUGAGCCAUACCAUGUCUUUGAAAGAUUUGCGAAUACUUUUCUUAUAUGAGUUUAAACUCGGACACAGUGCAGCCACGGCCAGCAGAAACAUCAUCUCCGUCUUCGGAGAAGGCUCUGUGAACGAAAGGACCAUCCGGUGGUGGUUUGAGAAGUUCCGUUCUGGGGAUCUGAGUCUGAAAAAUGAGCCUCGCGGGAGACCCAGGUCGGUCCUAAAUGAAGACGAGCUGCGAGCCAUGGUGGAAGCGAACCCCAAGAGCGCCAUCCGGGGCCUCGCCGCAGACCUAGGCGUUUCUGCUACAACCAUUUCUCGACACCUGGCUGCGAUGGGAAAGGUGAAAAAGUUGGACAAGUGGGUGACAGCAGCUGAUGGGUGAUCAUGAACAGGUGGUUGGAGAGACGCUCAUCCCUUAAGAUUUGGAAGAGCAGAGACCUUAUGAGAGCGUCCUGAGUGUGACAGAAAUGAAAUCGAAAGGGAUCUGGACAAUGGCUGGAUGUUGAUGAAGUUCCCCAACGUGUUAAAAACCUUCCUUCUACCAAAAGAGGAUCCGGUAACUGUGGGUGGUGUGCACACAGGGAGUUUCAACACUGCGUGUUCACCCGAACUGCUCUCCCUGCUUAAACGAGCUCGCAUUGCCCCAGUCGCUCUACAGCACUCUGCGCUGGUCCGCAGACGUGGACCUGUCCUGCCCAGGACAACAGUGGACUGCAGACGUCACAGACCGCCAUCGGGAGGUAACUGAAUCGGGCAAAGGAAUUUAGCGCAUCCAUCAGACUCACCUGGCCUUUUAAAACAGACUCCCACCUCCUUUAUCAUUUGUAACUAACACAGAACAUUCUCCGGUUGAGAAGCAGGAAUUGAAGGAAGUGAAUGUCUUUUAACAAGACUGGAUUUUAUAAAUGUAGUAUAUCAUUUAAUAUUGGGGGAAGUUUAUCACUUGGAGAAAGCAGCUCAUACUAUUAGUGCAUAUUUUGGUUGAAUGAAGCUGUUGUUUUUCUCAAAAAACAUAACAUUUUCAUUUUGACCUGCAAAAGGCAAUUGCAUGUGGCUCACCCUGAUCAUUUCCUAAUCCCGGCAGAGCCCGGAGACGGAAAGGCACUCAGGAGCCAAAGCUACAGCUGCUCCUGAGGACUGCGGCUUCUUCCCGGGAGGGAUGUGGCACAACCCAGGGAGUGAACAUGCACGCGUGCGUGUGUGUGUGUGUGUGUGUGUGUGUGUGUGAAAGAUGCUUAGGAGUUGGCCGAGCAGAAACCCAGGUGAAGAGUGCUUCAGCCUCCUUCCCUUCCUUUGACUGCAGCUGCUUUGCUCCUGGUGUGCUUUCUGUCUGGAUGUUUGCUGUUCCUCUUCACCUUAUUAACUCUACCCAUCAUGCACUUUUCCUCCAGGAAGUCUUCCCUGGUUGCCCCACCCCCGCCCCAGGUCAGGUCCCUUUGAGGCCUAAGAAUCCCAGUAUUGUUCCUGCAUAAUGUGAUCACGGUCAUAAUAUAUUUAUUUGUGUGAUAA